rnacentral:rRNA from 1 species
AGCGAACGCUGGCGGCAGGCCUAACACAUGCAAGUCGAACGGUAACAGGUCUUCGGAUGCUGACGAGUGGCGAACGGGUGAGUAAUACAUCGGAACGUGCCUAGUAGUGGGGGAUAACUACUCGAAAGAGUGGCUAAUACCGCAUGAGAUCUACGGAUGUAAGCAGGGGAUCGCAAGACCUUGUGCUACUAGAGCGGCCGAUGGCAGAUUAGGUAGUUGGUGGGAUAAAAGCUUACCAAGCCGACGAUCUGUAGCUGGUCUGAGAGGACGAUCAGCCUCACUGGGACUGAGACACAGCCCAGACUCCUACGGGAGGCAGCAGUGGGGAAUUUUGGACAAUGGGCGCAAGCCUGAUCCAGCAAUGCCGCGUGCAGGAUGAAGGCCUUCGGGUUGUAAACUGCUUUUGGCAGGAACGAAACGGCGCAAGCUAAUACCUUGCGCUAAUGACGGUACCUGCAGAAUAAGCACCGGCUAACUACGUGCCAGCCGCCGCGGUAACAC